rnacentral:lncRNA from 1 species
AAAAGAGCCGUCUCUUUUUGGUGAGCUGAGCCGGAAUGCCCAUCACUAUCUGGACGCUUGUGUAACGCGGGUCGUAUAAAGGAGACCAAGGCGCAGCGUGUAUAGUGCUCAUUCUUUAACUUUUAAUGAAGACACUUGAACAAAACAACAAACGACCGACAACAGUUCCGUAAGGUACACUUGAUAAAACGGAAAACAACUACCCACAAAAACCCAGGAAGAAAAACCCCUACUUAAAUAUGAUCUCCAAUCAGAGGCAACGAGGACCAGCUGCCUCCAAUUGGAGAUCAACCCAAAAAACAACAACAUAGAAAUAGAAAACCUAGAACACAAACACAGAAAUAGAAAACAUAGAAAACACAAAACACCCCCUGUCAUGCCCUGACCUACUCUACUAUAGAAAAUGACAUCUUACUAGGGUCAGGACGUGACAGUAUCCCCCCCCCCAAAGGUGCAGACUCCGAAUGCAACAAAACCAACAUAAAAAAAACACAAAACAAAAGGGAGGGUAGGGAGGGUGAUAAUUGUCUAUGGCGGCUCAAAUGCAGUCCACAUAACCUUAACCUCCAGCAUAGGAGGCGGCUCCGGUUCGAGGCGUACUCCCCGCUCCACCCGCUGAUCCUUCUGCUUUAUUACCACCUGACCGUGGAUCGUCGUCGAAGGAACCGGACUGUAGAUCAUUGCUGGAGGUUCUGGGCUGCAGGCCACCGCUGGAGACUCUGGGCUGCAGGCCGCUGCUGAAGGCUCCGGACUGAAGAGCGUCGCUGGAGGCUCCGGACUGAAGAGUGUCGCUGGAGGCUUCGGACUGAAAAACGUCGCUGGAGGCUCCGGACUGAAGAGCGUUGCUGGAGGCUCCGGACUGAGGAGUGUCGCUGGAGGCUCCGGACUGAGGAACGUCGCUGGAAGCUCCGGACGGAGAAACGUCGCCGGAGGUUCCGGACUGGGAGGCGUCAUACUAGGUUCCGGACUAGUGACCAUUGCUGCUGGUUCCAUGCCAUGGAUCAUCUCUACAGGUUUCGCGCCCUGGAUCAUCACUGGAGGCUUCUUACCAUGGAUUAUCUCUACAGGUGCCGGGCCAUGGAUUAUUCCUACAGGCUUCGUGCCAUGGUGUAUCCCUACAGGCUCCGGACCAUUUAUAAUCCCUCCAGGCUUUUUGCCAAGGAUUAUCUCUACAGGUUCCGGGCCAUGGAUUACCUCUAAAGGCUUCGUGCCAUGGAACAUCCCUACAGGCUCCGGGCCAUGGAUCAUCACUAGAGGCUUAGUACCAUGGAUCAUCUCUACAGGCGUCGGACCAUCGAUUAUCACUGGAGGCUUUGUACGUGGAGCUGGAACCGGUCUUACCGGACUGGGGAGACGCACUGAGGACCGAGUGCUCAAAGCAGGCACCGGCCGUACUGGGUUAUGGAUGCGCACUGGAGGGAGAGUGCGAAGAACAGGCACAGGACGUACUGGAUUCUGGAGGCGCACUGGAGGGAGACCGCGAGGAGCAGGCACAGGACGUACUGUGUUAUGGAGGCGCACUGGAGAGAGAGAGUGCGAGAGGCAGGCACAUGCUCACCACAAAAAGCAUGGGGAGUUGACUCAGGCCUCACCCCUGGCCCAGCCAAACUACCCGGCUGCCUCUCGUUCUUCCCAGGUAGGCUCCGGUAUCUCUCGAUUACCUGGCCCCAGGUCCAAUUCCUCCUCUCCGUCCACUCACUAUGUGACCAGGUGUCCAUUUCAGCCCGGGCACGCCGCUUGAUCCAAUCUUGGUGGGUAGUUCUGUAACGUGGGUCGUAUAAAGGAGACCAAGGCGCAGCGUGUAUAGUGCUCAUUCUUUAACUUUCAAUGAAGACACUUGAACAAAACAACAAACGACCGACAACAGUUUCGUAAGGUACACUUGACAAAUGGAAAACAACUACCCACAAAAACCCAGGAAGAAAAACCCCUACUAAAAUAUGAUCUCCAAUCAGAGGCAACGAGGACCAGCUGCCUCCAAUUGGAGAUCAACCCAAAAAACAACAACAUAGAAAUAGAAAACCUAGAACAUAAACCUAGAAAUAGAAAACAUAGAAAAACACAAAACACCCCCUGUCACGCUCUGACCUACUCUACUAUAGAAAAUGACAUCUUACUAGCGUCAGGACGUGACAGCUUGUGUAGUGACACGGAACCCAAAACGGCUGC